GGUUAAGCGACUAAGCGUACACGGUGGAUGCCCUGGCAGUCAGAGGCGAUGAAGGACGUGCUAAUCUGCGAAAAGCGUCGGUAAGGUGAUAUGAACCGUUAUAACCGGCGAUGUCCGAAUGGGGAAACCCAGUGUGAUUCGUCACACUAUCGUUAACUGAAUACAUAGGUUAACGAGGCGAACCGGGGGAACUGAAACAUCUAAGUACCCCGAGGAAAAGAAAUCAACCGAGAUUCCCCCAGUAGCGGCGAGCGAACGGGGAGCAGCCCAGAGUCUGAAUCAGCUUGUGUGUUAGUGGAACGGUCUGGAAAGUCCGACGGUACAGGGUGAUAGUCCCGUACACCAAAAUGCACAGGUUGUGAACUCGAAGAGUAGGGCGGGACACGUGGUAUCCUGUCUGAAUAUGGGGGGACCAUCCUCCAAGGCUAAAUACUCCUGACUGACCGAUAGUGAACCAGUACCGUGAGGGAAAGGCGAAAAGAACCCCGGCGAGGGGAGUGAAAAAGAACCUGAAACCGUGUACGUACAAGCAGUGGGAGCACCUUCGGGUGUGACUGCGUACCUUUUGUAUAAUGGGUCAGCGACUUAUAUUCUGUAGCAAGGUUAACCGUAUAGGGGAGCCGCAGGGAAACCGAGUCUUAACUGGGCGUUAAGUUGCAGGGUAUAGACCCGAAACCCGGUGAUCUAGCCAUGGGCAGGUUGAAGGUUGGGUAACACUAACUGGAGGACCGAACCGACUAAUGUUGAAAAAUUAGCGGAUGACUUGUGGCUGGGGGUGAAAGGCCAAUCAAACCGGGAGAUAGCUGGUUCUCCCCGAAAGCUAUUUAGGUAGCGCCUCGUGAACUCAUCUUCGGGGGUAGAGCACUGUUUCGGCUAGGGGGUCAUCCCGACUUACCAACCCGAUGCAAACUACGAAUACCGAAGAAUGUUAUCACGGGAGACACACGGCGGGUGCUAACGUCCGUCGUGAAGAGGGAAACAACCCAGACCGCCAGCUAAGGUCCCAAAGUCAUGGUUAAGUGGGAAACGAUGUGGGAAGGCACAGACAGCCAGGAUGUUGGCUUAGAAGCAGCCAUCAUUUAAAGAAAGCGUAAUAGCUCACUGGUCGAGUCGGCCUGCGCGGAAGAUGUAACGGGGCUAAACCAUGCACCGAAGCUGCGGCAGCGACACUAUGUGUUGUUGGGUAGGGGAGCGUUCUGUAAGCCUGCGAAGGUGUGCUGUGAGGCAUGCUGGAGGUAUCAGAAGUGCGAAUGCUGACAUAAGUAACGAUAAAGCGGGUGAAAAGCCCGCUCGCCGGAAGACCAAGGGUUCCUGUCCAACGUUAAUCGGGGCAGGGUGAGUCGACCCCUAAGGCGAGGCCGAAAGGCGUAGUCGAUGGGAAACAGGUUAAUAUUCCUGUACUUGGUGUUACUGCGAAGGGGGGACGGAGAAGGCUAUGUUAGCCGGGCGACGGUUGUCCCGGUUUAAGCAUGUAGGCUGGUUAUCCAGGCAAAUCCGGAUAAUCAAGGCUGAGGUGUGAUGACGAGGCACUACGGUGCUGAAGUAACAAAUGCCCUGCUUCCAGGAAAAGCCUCUAAGCAUCAGGUAACAUCAAAUCGUACCCCAAACCGACACAGGUGGUCAGGUAGAGAAUACCAAGGCGCUUGAGAGAACUCGGGUGAAGGAACUAGGCAAAAUGGUGCCGUAACUUCGGGAGAAGGCACGCUGGUGUGUAGGUGAAGUCCCUGCGGAUGGAGCUGAGACCAGUCGAAGAUACCAGCUGGCUGCAACUGUUUAUUAAAAACACAGCACUGUGCAAACACGAAAGUGGACGUAUACGGUGUGACGCCUGCCCGGUGCCGGAAGGUUAAUUGAUGGGGUUAUCCGUAAGGAGAAGCUCUUGAUCGAAGCCCCGGUAAACGGCGGCCGUAACUAUAACGGUCCUAAGGUAGCGAAAUUCCUUGUCGGGUAAGUUCCGACCUGCACGAAUGGCGUAAUGAUGGCCAGGCUGUCUCCACCCGAGACUCAGUGAAAUUGAACUCGCUGUGAAGAUGCAGUGUACCCGCGGCAAGACGGAAAGACCCCGUGAACCUUUACUAUAGCUUGACACUGAACAUUGAGCCUUGAUGUGUAGGAUAGGUGGGAGGCUUUGAAGCGUGGACGCCAGUCUGCGUGGAGCCAACCUUGAAAUACCACCCUUUAAUGUUUGAUGUUCUAACGUUGGCCCCUGACCGGGGUUGCGGACAGUGUCUGGUGGGUAGUUUGACUGGGGCGGUCUCCUCCCAAAGCGUAACGGAGGAGCACGAAGGUUAGCUAAUCCUGGUCGGACAUCAGGAGGUUAGUGCAAUGGCAUAAGCUAGCUUGACUGCGAGCGUGACGGCGCGAGCAGGUGCGAAAGCAGGUCAUAGUGAUCCGGUGGUUCUGAAUGGAAGGGCCAUCGCUCAACGGAUAAAAGGUACUCCGGGGAUAACAGGCUGAUACCGCCCAAGAGUUCAUAUCGACGGCGGUGUUUGGCACCUCGAUGUCGGCUCAUCACAUCCUGGGGCUGAAGUAGGUCCCAAGGGUAUGGCUGUUCGCCAUUUAAAGUGGUACGCGAGCUGGGUUUAGAACGUCGUGAGACAGUUCGGUCCCUAUCUGCCGUGGGCGCUGGAGAAUUGAGGGGGGCUGCUCCUAGUACGAGAGGACCGGAGUGGACGCAUCACUGGUGUUCGGGUUGUCAUGCCAAUGGCACUGCCCGGUAGCUAAAUGCGGAAGAGAUAAGUGCUGAAAGCAUCUAAGCACGAAACUUGCCCCGAGAUGAGUUCUCCCUGAGACUUUAAGUCUCCUGAAGGAACGUUGAAGACGACGACGUUGAUAGGCCGGGUGUGUAAGCGCAGCGAUGCGUUGAGCUAACCGGUACUAAUGAACCGUGAGGCUUAACCUU
rnacentral:rRNA from 1 species